rnacentral:lncRNA from 1 species
UUUAAAUGAAAAGAUUUUAUAAAUUGUCUUGAAAUUGAAUGAUGGCUUUGAAAAUAGAGUAACUGGAGACCACUUGAUGUGUUGUAAUUUAUGAUUCUAAUUGAUGGCUUAUGAUAAUGUGUUGGCAUGACUGGUUGGAAUUGUGGUUUGUGAACUGUAUGAAUUGUUCUGUUUUACAUUUACAGGCUAGGUAGUAUAAUAUUAGUCAUGUUAUGCUAUCAAAAUUUUAUUGUAUGGUGGGUUUAGCUUGCUACAGUGGGCGGGUUCUGUGGACCAGCCUAUUAGAGGGCACGAAAUCUAGUUAUAUAUGUACCUCGGUCGGAGAGGUGCGUAGGGUAUCUCCUAAGGUAUGGUUAGAGUUCACGUCACGCCGAACCACCUCGUGAUGAUGAACUCCGCUAACGUCAAGGAACGGUUGUGUUUUUAAAAUAAAACAUGUUUACGUGUAUACGAACUUUUUAACAGCCUUUGUGGACUCGAUUAAAUGCCUCGGCCAAGGUAUUCUCGAGAAUGAUUUUGGCAGGAGCCAAGCUUUUAAGAUACUCAUAAGCCAUGUUGAUUAUUUAAAUGAAAUGAAUAUUUAUGUUA